rnacentral:rRNA from 1 species
CCCUUAGAUGUUCUGGGCUGCACGCGCGCUACACUGAAGCGUUCAACGAGUAUUCACCUUGCCCGGGAGGGUUGGGUAAUCUUUUGAAAACGCUUCGUGAUGGGGAUAGAUUAUUGCAAUUAUUAAUCUUCAACGAGGAAUUCCUAGUAAGCGCGAGUCAUCAGCUCGUGCUGAUUACGUCCCUGCCCUUUGUACACACCGCCUGUCGCUCCUACCGAUUGAAUGUUCCGAUGAAUACCAUGGAUUGAGAGUCUGAAUGGGUUCGCCUAUUUCUGCCUCUCGAGAAGUGGAGUAAAUCUUAGCAUUUAGAGGAAGGAGUAGUCGUAACA